rnacentral:rRNA from 1 species
UGAGGAAUAUUGGUCAAUGGUCGCAAGACUGAACCAGCCAUGCCGCGUGCAGGAAGACGGUCCUAUGGAUUGUAAACUGCUUUUAUACAGGAAGAAACCCUCCCACGUGUGGGAGCUUGACGGUACUGUAGGAAUAAGGAUCGGCUAACUCCGU